rnacentral:rRNA from 1 species
UACGAAGGGGGCUAGCGUUGUUCGGAAUUACUGGGCGUAAAGCGCACGUAGGCGGAUCGAUCAGUCAGGGGUGAAGUCCCAGGGCUCAACCCUGGAACUGCCUUUGAUACUGUCGAUCUGGAGUAUGGAAGAGGUGAGUGGAAUUCCGAGUGUAGAGGUGAAAUUCGUAGAUAUUCGGAGGAACACCAGUGGCGAAGGCGGCUCACUGGUCCAUUACUGACGCUGAGGUGCGAAAGCGUGGGGAGCAAACAGG